GUGAGAUCAAGUUUUUAGCUUCCACAUGUAAGCGAGAACUUGCAGUUUGUGUUUUUCUGUGCCUGACUUACUUCAUUUAACAUAAUGUCCUUUAUUCCCCAUUUAUAUUACUGCAAAUGACAAAAUUUUACUAUUUUUUUUAUGAAGAUAAACCCACAUUCUUGUCCAAAGUGAUUAAACAUGCUCAUCAGCAGUGUACAGGAGUUCUGUUUUCCCACAACUUCAUUAAUACUUGGUUUUGUUAGACAUUUAUUUUUGCCUGUAUACUUUAUAAAAUGAUAUUAUUAAGUUGGAUUUUAAACCUCACUUCCCUGAUUUUGAUGAAUUGAACAUUUCAUUCAUGUUUCUUCUUUUUGGAAAUGUCUAUUCAUUUCUAAUGGAUUACUAGUCUUUUUCUUAUCAUAAGAAUUUAUACAUUCUGAACACAAAAAUUGUUCAGUUUUGUGUGAUCCAAGUAUUGUUUCUCAGUUUUUUUAAAACAUUCUAAAUAUUGUUUCUCAACCCUGUCACUAUCUUCACUCAAAUUCUAAAAUUUUGACUUUUGCAUUUAAGUGUCUAAUCCAUGUACAAGAAACAGAUUUUUGUUUGUCUGUUGAAGCCAGAAAUGCAUUUCCUCUAUUUUCCAAAUAAAAAACUAUUUUCCCAGCCCUAUUAGAUUUUCAUAUAUAUGUGUGGGAGAGUUUGAGGAAUUUUUUUGAACUUCCAAACAAAUAUUAGAAUCAAUUUGCCCUUUUUCAUUUUUUUAAAAAUGGAAUUUUUUUUUUAUUAACUGCUGUUAAGCUUUUUAUUGGAAUUGUAAUGGAUAAUUUGGAGAAAAUUAGCAUCUAUAGGACACUGAGUAUUCCCCUUCGUCCAGGAACCUGAUAUCUCUCCUCUUAUUUAAAUAUCUUGUGUUUAUUUAAAUAAGCUAUAUAUUUUUCUCUAUAAAGAUUAACAUAUUUUCAUGAAAUUUAAUCAUAGGUUCUUUGUGUUUUUAAUACUAUUAUUACUCAUUUAAAAAUAUAUUUUCCAGGGUCUGGGGUUGCGAUUCGGUGGUAGAGCACUUGCCUAGCAUGCGUGAGGCACUGGGUUCAAUCCCUGGUACCGCAUAAAAAUAAAUAAAUAAAUAAACAAAUAAAAUAAAGGUAUUGUGUCCAUUUACAACUAAAAAAAUUUUUUUAAAUAUAUAUAUUUUUUCCAAUUUAGUUGGUGUAUUGAAAUGAAGUUGAUAUUUGGAUAUUGAUCUUACAUAUAGCCACUUUAUUGAAAUCUUUUAUGAAGUUUGGUAAACUAUAUUUUUAUAUUGGAGAUUUUUUUUCCUGCAAACAUAAAUAUUGUAAAUACUAACAUUUUUGUUCUUUCAUCCCAGUCCAUAUGAAUUUCCUGUGUGUUUCAUAUUUCAAUGACUGUGAUAGCUAGUACAGUUCAUAUUAGCGGAGAGGAUAGGAGGCAUCAUUGUCUUAUUCCUCAGUGUAGAGUGAGCACUUUAAAUAUUUUACCAUCAUCAGAGGACAUGCCUAUAGGCACAUGCCUAUAAAAUCUCAGUGAUUUAGGAGGCUGAGGCAGGAGGAUCUCAAGUUCAGGGCCAGCUUAGACAGUUUUAGUCAUCUUUUUUGUUGCUGUGACCAAAAGACCUGACAAGUACAAUUAGAGGAGAAAAAGUUGAUUCUGGGGCUCAUGUUUCAGAGAUCUCAGUCCAUAGGCAGUUGGUUCCAUUCCUUGGGGCACAAGGUGAGGCAGAGCAUCAUGGUGAAAGGGUAUGGCAGGGGAAAGCAGCUGGAAACAUAACACCCAGGAAGCAGAGAGAGUUCUUCUCUACAAGAACAAAAUAUAUACCCCCAAAGUCAUGCCCUCAGGGACGCUGUACUCCAGCCACAUCCUACCUGCCUACCUUUACCACCAAGUUAAUUCCUAUCAGGGGAUUAAUACACUGACAAUAAUUUCACCUAUAAACCUUGCAUUAUCUCACACAUGAACUUUUGGUGGACACCUGAUAUCUAAACCAUAAAAGAGACUCUGUCUCAAAAUAAAAAAUAAAAAGGGCUGGGGAUGUAGCUCAGUGGUAGAGUACCCCUGGGUUCAAUUCCCAGUACCAUCAAAUUAUAGUAUUGACUGUAAUAGUUGCUGUGAAGUUUUGGUACAUGUUCUUUAUCAGGCUAAAUAAAUUUGAAACUUUGUAAAGAGGAUUUUAAAAUUUUGCUUUUACUUUUUAAAUCAUGAAUGGCUAAUAAGAACUUUUGAUCCACCAAUGUUAUCAUUUUAUUUUCUACUUUUAUCUGUUAGUGAGAUGAAUUGCAUUGAUAAGUUUCUGUUAUUAAACCAUUCUUACAUUUUUGAAAUAAUUUGAACUUAGUUGUGAUAAUUCUUUUGAUAUGCUGCUCAACAAUGACAUCAUUUUUGUAGAUACGAACUAAUUUUAAACCAAGAGAGAAAAGAAGUUAUAUAUGUUUGUUGCAAAUAAGGUCUUUUCAGAGUAUCUUUAUAAGGUGGUCCACUUUACUACAGGGUGUGAGAAUCUCCAGAUAUUAAUGUAGGUAGUAGCUGAUGAAGAAGAAGGAACACUGGAAAAUUAAAUUAGUUGUUUUUUUAAGGUGCUGGGGACCAAACCCAGGGCCUUCUGCAUGCUGGGCCAGUGCUAUACCAUUGAGCUAUGCCUCCAAUCCCUACAAAGUUACAUUUUAAUCUCAUUUUGUCCUUCUCUUCACCUGAGAGAACUAAUAAAAUUACUUGAUUCAUGUGGGCCUUAUCUUUCUCACUGAAUUUCUUUGAGACUCAGAGACAUGUUGGCAACUAGCCAUGUGACUUCACUUGCUUUACUAUUAACCUGUCAUUACCAACAAACAUUUAUUUAUUAGAAACUAAGGACAAAGCAAAGUCUAUUCCUUAAGGAAUUUCUAUUCUGGGAGGGGCAGAGGUAAUAGUUUAUUUAUGUCUUGAAACAAAAUGAUUUAUCUUAUCCUCUAUAGUCUACACUGGUUGUGAUGUAUGGGGAGAAGGUAGGGUGCCAAGGAGUCCUUAGGGUAGAGAAAAGGGAAGAACAAGUUCCCGAUUGCAUAUGAUCUCAAUCUCCUGAAAGGUGGCCAUGAAUGUCUUCAUGAACCUUCAUGAACCAGUUAUUAGCAAAGGCCUUAGACUUUGUUCUCCAGUGGCCUUUCUGGGUUGGAAAUUUUGUCUCUUUGACCUCAGGACUGUGUCCCCCUUUUCAAAGACUUUACAAAUAAUUUCAUGCUUAACCAGUUUGUGUUCCUACCUCUGGCCUAUGGACCUUGGAAUCUUUUGUUCUAACAGGCUUAAGGUUGUGAGUAAUAGAACAGAAUCUUCUUGGUUCUAUUUAAGUAAUACCAGCAUAUUUCACUUAGAGAAAAUGAUGAUAUUGACAUUAAUCAUAACAGAGAAUUAACCUAUUAACUUUGUUUUUUAUGGAAUUUCUCAAUUUAUUGUUACCGUAAAUAGAUUUUUAAAUUUCUAGACAAUGUAAUUUCUAAGUGCAUUUUAUUUGUAUCUUAUUUCAGUGCUGGACCCAAAGGAGACAACAUUUAUGAGUGGAGGUCAACUAUAUUGGGACCCCCUGGAUCUGUCUAUGAAGGAGGGGUGUUCUUUCUUGACAUUACCUUUUCACCAGACUAUCCGUUUAAACCCCCAAAGGUCAGUAUGAAGUGUUCAUCCAUUUUUAGCAAUA
rnacentral:lncRNA from 1 species